CCACCGACAUCUUAUCUAUUUCCACAGUCUCGCAGUUUCUUCAAGCAUGCUCCCACUAUGUUUAAAAAGCUCUGUGGCAGUAAGGAAAGUAAGACUAAGGAAGAAAAUACAAUAAAUGACUGUUCCCUCUGUCAUAUUUGUUUUGCAGAAAUGACUGACAACUCACAUGCAUAAAAAAAGCGUACUCCUCUAUUCCCCUUAGUGUAAAGUCCCGUCCUCUUUCCUAGAUUAUGUUUUCCUUAUUUGAUCAUUUAUUCUUCAGUUCUGUGUUGUGUUUGUCUACUCGUCUCUCCUCUCGUUUCAGACUCCUCACGCCCUGCCCUUGUGUGUGCCCUGCCUUGUUGAUUGUCUGCCCCGCCUUGAUUGUUUUCACCUGUCCCUCAUCACCUUGUGUAUUUAGUCUGUGUGUUCCUGUGUCUCGUAGCCAGUUCGUCUUAGUUUCCUGCGUGUCUCUAGCGCUCCAGUGAUUUCUCCAUGUAUAUUGAUUCUCUAGUGUUGCCGACCUCUGCCAGUCUUACGAACCCUGCUUUCGCCUCCUCCCUAUUGGAUUGUCUGCCUGAUCUUCAAACGCCUGCCUGUGUUCCGAACCCCGACCUGACCCACACAGAACCCUGUCGUCGCCUUGUUGGAUUUGGACUGUCUUCCCAUGUACCAAACUCUGAUAUCGCAACCAAGUCUUCAGAAGCUGGCUGGUGGAGGGGCCCCCUGUCGUCCUGCUGUCUAGCAAAGUGCAGGUAAGCUUUUGCAUCCCUCUCACAACCUUAUUGAACUCCUUUUUACUCUGUGCAGCAUUUCACAGAAUGCCAACACCACUUACUUUGACAAAUUCAGUGACUUGGUCCCAGGAUGUCCAUACUUCCCCAUGUCCAGGAGCUCUUUUGACAGUUCCAAAAAUGAUUUAGGCCACUUGGGUCUUCCUGUUUUUUAACAAAUAAGACCGGUUGCAGUCUUAUUGUAGAAUGCAGAAUGUAACUGUAUAAUAUUGCAGAUAAACAGUGGUGAUGUGGAUGAUUUCUUUAAUCAGCUAGUCAAUAUAUUUUGACAUGUGUGUGUCACUACAUCUCAAACAUUACAUUUCCAUGAGUAUCUGCAUUUUCCAUUAAAAGCACAUUUCAGAAUAUCUGAUAUGAUGGCAGCCUUGGCAGUCCUUUGUCUACACAACACAGGAGAUUAUAACAGCGUCAGUUGUAAUACAGUAAUAGUUACUGUUUUACAUUAACU
ensembl:lncRNA